UGGUUCAUCUCUUGAAACCUUUGAUCCAGGAGAUCUUCUCGAUCAUGAAUCUCGAGGGUCUUCUGGUAGAACGGAGGUAGAAACCCUCUGGGGGUGGAAUCGUGAUCAGAUAGAGGGCUCUCCACCCUUUGCUUUCCCUUUUUGAGGGAUACAGGGCGACUGGCCCAAGUGGGCCACCCGAUCGUCGGAUUCUGGAACUCUGAUGAUGCUCUUU
rnacentral:lncRNA from 1 species